rnacentral:lncRNA from 1 species
UGCUUUUAGCUUUCCAACACAUUCUUCUUUUAAUCUGAUCAAUAGAUAAAUGAACUGCCCUGAGAGAUAGAUAUUUUAAAAUGGAAUCUUUUAUAAAUUAAGGUAUGGGGUUUUUUUUCAGUAGAUUCAGCUAAGCAGCUGAAUUAUUAAUUGCACCUGGAGUUUCAGGUGCUCAGCAAUUGGUCCUUACUCUCCACCAGCUUUCAAAUGAUAUAUGUGCUUUCAAUUAGAGCCUUUACAUCCUUUGCACUGGCAGGAUUCACAUUCUCCACUGUAGGAUAAGGCACAUUUCAUGCACUCACACCAUUUCCUCUCCUUGCUUGCUUAACUCACAUGCCUCAAAUCUGAGAUCUGCACAGAGACAAGAGGCAAAAAAUCUAGAAUUGCCUAGCAGUAAUCUCCUUAAACCAUAUACUGGGCUAGGUGUUUUUAUAUGAGAGGAAGGGAACCUAAGGGGAACAUUUGGAAGGGCCUUGGAAAAGGAAAAGAAUUACAGACCAUGAGAAGAUGGGAAAAAAGGAGUGACAUCAUCUAGAUUGGAGCCCUGGUACAGCAGAAGUACUUUUGCAGUCAGUUGCUCCUCAUGACUUUGUAUUCUUGGGAAUUAAGGAAGAAAAGGGGGAAGCUAACUGCUUCAUGCAUGCUUGGGAGAGGAAGAAAAAAGUCUGAAAAUACUACAGCAUCUAGGAGAAAUUAUGGACCAGUUAUCUGGUCCAACAGUUUCAAACUUCAGGUGCUAAUCAAGGAAAUGCAGAAUUCUGAUAUUUGCCAAGGCCAAGGUAUGGCUCAACCAGGUGAUGUCAUCCUACACUUCUGA